CGUAGCCAGUCACAUUCCACCCAGCCCUGCCCUGGCACUUUGGCCAGCUCUCCUGGGGUCUUAGCUCCUGCUGACCCUCAGCACAGAGCACCAGCAAAACCGUGAAACCACUAGGAAGGCAGAUGGGACUCCCGAUGACCAGCGCACAGGACUCUCGGACUUAAUACAUUGACACUAAAUCUGUGCUAGACAUCCAGUCUAGCAGAUUCGGAUGCCAGGGCUUCCUUUUCCAUUGGCAGAGCCUGCAGGAAAUGAGCUGAGCAGAGUCACUGAUCUUUGGAGGAUUCCCCCUGCCAAGGCUACAGCAGGAGGAACCGAGCAACUGGGACGUCAUUGCUCUGGUGCUUAGAGAGGAAGGGGACAGGCCAGCCAAAGCGGAGAGUCUCAGGGGACGCGAGAAGAGGAAGCAUGUGCAGGGAGGGAAGAUGGAAGAGGAGUGCGGAAAACGAAGGACAGAUGAGGACGGAUCUGAUCUCACUGCCUGCAUCUCAACGAUGCAAGUGACCUGAAGAACAAGAGGAGCAGUGCGCAUCUGGCCCAGAAGCUGGAUGACCUGCAGGCCCAGUUGCUCCUCCAGGCCAGCAAGGGUUUUCUCCUGAGCAGUCUCAUGGGAGCAGGAAGACGGCAAAAAGGGCAACGCAGUGUCUGGUGUGGGGUCAGCCAGCUCAAGUUCUCUCUCAGUCCGGACCUUCUCUCUUCGUCUCUCCCCUCUCUUGGAGCACUACCCUGGCCACUGAACUGAUCCGGCCACUUCUCCGAUCUCUCCCCUACAACCCAGCCCGGUCCCCAACCUGCCUCGGUGUUCCACACUGUGAUCUGAUGAUCCUAGCACACUCCCCUACCUGUCCCCCAGUAAACUUUCUAGCCUCAGCCUUAUCAAGGCCCAAGAGGCUUUACCCAACUUUAACCCUGUCCACCGCUGGAAAGAGCCGUUCCUUACUGUGCAGACAUUUAUUUGUGUCUUCAAUGAAUGCUUCUUGGGGCCUACUCUGACUGGGUAUGUGCUGGUACCUGCUGGGACUCCCACUUCUCACACCCUAGCCACCCCGAAUAUGCUGUCUUUCAGCAUCUGGGACUGACACUUGCUGUUUUCUCAAGCUUCAGAGGCUCCUCCUUAAGACAUUCCUGGGUCUUCCUUUCCAAUAUCACUCCCUCCUCUGAGCUCCCUGGCCCUUUAAAAAUAUUCAUUAAAAUGA